rnacentral:rRNA from 1 species
GUUGUAUGGUUAAGUGACUAAGCGUACACGGUGGAUGCCUUGGCAGUCAGAGGCGAUGAAGGACGUAUUAACUUGCGAUAAGCCCAGAUUAGGUAGUAAAAACCAUUUGAGUCUGGGAUUUCCGAAUGGGGAAACCCACUAGCAUAAGCUAGUAUCGCUGCGUGAAUACAUAGCGCAGCGAGGCGAACCGGGGAACUGAAACAUCUAAGUACCCCGAGGAAAAGAAAUCAACCGAGAUUCCGAAAGUAGCGGCGAGCGAAAUUGGACUAGCCCUUAAGCUUUUUAUGCGUCAGGUGAAACUUCUGGAAAGUUGUGCGAUACAGGGUGAUAGCCCCGUAACCGGCAACGCAUUUAAAGUGAAAUCGAGUAGGGCGGGACACGUGAUAUCCUGUCUGAAUAUGGGGGGACCAUCCUCCAAGGCUAAAUACUACUGACUGACCGAUAGUGAACCAGUACCGUGAGGGAAAGGCGAAAAGAACCCCUGUGAGGGGAGUGAAAUAGAACCUGAAACCGUGUACGUACAAGCAGUAGGAGCACCUUCGUGGUGUGACUGCGUACCUUUUGUAUAAUGGGUCAGCGACUUAUAUUCAGUGGCAAGGUUAACCAUCUAGGGGAGCCGUAGGGAAACCGAGUCUUAACUGGGCGUUCAGUCUCUGGAUAUAGACCCGAAACCAGGUGAUCUAGCCAUGGGCAGGUUGAAGGUUGAGUAACAUCAACUGGAGGACCGAACCGACUAAUGUUGAAAAAUUAGCGGAUGACUUGUGGCUAGGGGUGAAAGGCCAAUCAAACCUGGAGAUAGCUGGUUCUCCCCGAAAGCUAUUUAGGUAGCGCCUCGGACGAAUACUACUGGGGGUAGAGCACUGUUAAGGCUAGGGGGUCAUCCCGACUUACCAACCCUUUGCAAACUCCGAAUACCAGUAAGUACUAUCCGGGAGACACACGGCGGGUGCUAACGUCCGUCGUGGAGAGGGAAACAACCCAGACCGCCAGCUAAGGUCCCAAAUUACUACUAAGUGGGAAACGAUGUGGGAAGGCUCAGACAGCCAGGAUGUUGGCUUAGAAGCAGCCAUCAUUUAAAGAAAGCGUAAUAGCUCACUGGUCGAGUCGGCCUGCGCGGAAGAUGUAACGGGGCUAAGUAGUAAACCGAAGCUGCGGCAAUGCACUUUGUGCAUUGGGUAGGGGAGCGUUCUGUAAGCGGUUGAAGGUGUGUGGUAACGCAUGCUGGACGUAUCAGAAGUGCGAAUGCUGACAUGAGUAACGAUAAAGGGGGUGAAAAACCUCCUCGCCGGAAGACCAAGGGUUCCUGUCCAACGUUAAUCGGGGCAGGGUAAGUCGACCCCUAAGGCGAGGCCGAAAGGCGUAGUCGAUGGGAAACGGGUUAAUAUUCCCGUACUUCUUACAAUUGCGAUGGGGGACGGAGAAGGCUAGGUGGGCCUGGCGACGGUUGUCCAGGUUCAAGUGCGUAGGCUGAGAAAUUAGGUAAAUCCGGUUUCUCUUAAGGCUGAGACACGACGUCGAGCUACUACGGUAGUGAAGUCAUUGAUGCCAUGCUUCCAGGAAAAGCCUCUAAGCUUCAGAUUGUAAGGAAUCGUACCCCAAACCGACACAGGUGGUCGGGUAGAGAAUACCAAGGCGCUUGAGAGAACUCGGGUGAAGGAACUAGGCAAAAUGGUACCGUAACUUCGGGAGAAGGUACGCUCUCGACGGUGAAGUCCCUUGCGGAUGGAGCUAUUGAGAGUCGCAGAUACCAGGUGGCUGCAACUGUUUAUUAAAAACACAGCACUGUGCAAAAUCGUAAGAUGACGUAUACGGUGUGACGCCUGCCCGGUGCCGGAAGGUUAAUUGAUGGGGUUAGACUUCGGUCGAAGCUCUUGAUCGAAGCCCCGGUAAACGGCGGCCGUAACUAUAACGGUCCUAAGGUAGCGAAAUUCCUUGUCGGGUAAGUUCCGACCUGCACGAAUGGCGUAAUGAUGGCCACGCUGUCUCCACCCGAGACUCAGUGAAAUUGAAAUCGCUGUGAAGAUGCAGUGUACCCGCGGCUAGACGGAAAGACCCCGUGAACCUUUACUACAGCUUGGCACUGAACAUUGACCCUACAUGUGUAGGAUAGGUGGGAGGCUUUGAAACUAGUACGCCAGUAUUAGUGGAGCCGUCCUUGAAAUACCACCCUUGUAGUGUUGAUGUUCUAACGUCGACCCCUUACCGGGGUUGCGGACAGUGCCUGGUGGGUAGUUUGACUGGGGCGGUCUCCUCCCAAAGCGUAACGGAGGAGCACGAAGGUGGGCUAAUCACGGUUGGACAUCGUGAGGUUAGUGCAAUGGCAUAAGCCCGCUUGACUGCGAGAAUGACAAUUCGAGCAGGUGCGAAAGCAGGUCAUAGUGAUCCGGUGGUUCUGAAUGGAAGGGCCAUCGCUCAACGGAUAAAAGGUACUCCGGGGAUAACAGGCUGAUACCGCCCAAGAGUUCAUAUCGACGGCGGUGUUUGGCACCUCGAUGUCGGCUCAUCACAUCCUGGGGCUGAAGUCGGUCCCAAGGGUAUGGCUGUUCGCCAUUUAAAGUGGUACGCGAGCUGGGUUUAGAACGUCGUGAGACAGUUCGGUCCCUAUCUGCCGUGGGCGUUGGAAGAUUGAAGGGGGCUGCUCCUAGUACGAGAGGACCGGAGUGGACGAACCUCUGGUGUUCGGGUUGUGUCGCCAGACGCAUUGCCCGGUAGCUAAGUUCGGAAUCGAUAACCGCUGAAAGCAUCUAAGCGGGAAGCGAGCCCUGAGAUGAGUCUUCCCUGAUACUUUAAGUAUCCUAAAGGGUUGUUCGAGACUAGAACGUUGAUAGGCAGGGUGUGUAAGCGUUGUGAGGCGUUGAGCUAACCUGUACUAAUUGCCCGUGAGGCUUAACCAUACAACACCCAAGGGGUUU